rnacentral:rRNA from 1 species
ACGAACGCUGGCGGCGUGCCUAACACAUGCAAGUCGAGCGGAGAUUGCAGUAAUGUAAUCUUAGCGGCGGACGGGUGAGUAACGCGUGGGCAACUUGCCUUAUACAGGGGGAUAACACUGGGAAACUAGUGCUAAUACCGCAUAAUACAAUUACAUGGCAUCAUGUGAUUGUCAAAGGAGUAAUCCGGUAUGAGAUGGGCCCGCGUCCGAUUAGCUAGUUGGUAGGGUAAAGGCUUACCAAGGCGACGAUCGGUAGCCGAACUGAGAGGUUGAUCGGCCACAUUGGGACUGAGACACGGCCCAGACUCCUACGGGAGGCAGCAGUGGGGAAUAUUGCGCAAUGGGGGAAACCCUGACGCAGCAACGCCGCGUGAAGGAUGAAGGUUUUCGGAUUGUAAACUUCUUUGAUUGGGGACGAAUAAUGACGGUACCCAAAAAACAAGCCACGGCUAACUACGU